rnacentral:rRNA from 1 species
AGUGAACGCUGGCGGUAGGCCUAACACAUGCAAGUCGAACGGCAGCACAGUAAGAGCUUGCUCUUACGGGUGGCGCGUGGCGGACGGGUGAGGAAUACAUCGGAAUCUACUUUUUCGUGGGGGAUAACGUAGGGAAACUUACGCUAAUACCGCAUACGACCUACGGGUGAAAGCAGGGGAUCUUCGGACCUUGUGCGAUUGAAUGAGCCGAUGUCGGAUUAGCUAGUUUGCGGGGUAAAGGCCCACCUAGGCGACGAUCCGUAGCUGGUCUGAGAGGAUGAUCAGCCACACUGGAACUGAGACACGGUCCAGACUCCUACGGGAGGCAGCAGUGGGGAAUAUUGGACAAUGGGCGCAAGCCUGAUCCAGCCAUACCGCGUGGGUGAAGAAGGCCUUCGGGUUGUAAAGCCCUUUUGUUGGGAAAGAAAAGCAGCAGGUUAAUACCCCGCUGUUCUGACGGUACCCAAAGAAUAAGCACCGGCUAACUUCGUG